rnacentral:tRNA from 2 species
GCCCAGCUAGCUCAGUCAGUAGAGCAUGAGACUCUUAAUCUCAGCGUCGUGAGUUCACGUCCCACAUUGGGCA